rnacentral:rRNA from 1 species
GAUGAACGCUGGCGGCGUGCCUAACACAUGCAAGUCGAGCGAAAGCACGAGAAGCUCGCUCCUUUGAUGUUAGCGGCGGGCGGGUGAGUAACACGUGCAUAACCUACCUAUAAGACUGGGAUAACUUCGGAAAACCGGAGCUAAUACCGGAUAAUAUUUUGAACCGCAGGGUUCAAAAGUGAAAGACGGUUUUGCUGUCACUUUUAGAUGGUUCCGUGCUGCAUUAGCUAGUUGGUAAGGUAACGGCUUACCAAGGCAACGAUGCUUAGCCGAUCUGAGAGGGUGAUCAGCCACACUGGAACUGAGACACGGUCCAGACUCCUACGGGAGGCAGCAGUGGGGAAUAUUGGACAAUGGGCGAAAGCCUGACCCAGCCACACCGCGUGAGUGAUGAAGGUCUUCGGGUUGUAAAGCUCUGUUAUUAGGGAAGAACAGAUGUGUGAGAAAAUGUCGACAUCCUGACGGUACCUAAAGAAUAAGCACCGGCUAACUACGUG